AGUGAACGCUGGCGGUAGGCCUAACACAUGCAAGUCGAACGGCAGCACAGUAAGAGCUUGCUCUUACGGGUGGCGAGUGGCGGACGGGUGAGGAAUACAUCGGAAUCUACUUUUUCGUGGGGGAUAACGUAGGGAAACUUACGCUAAUACCGCAUACGACCUACGGGUGAAAGCAGGGGAUCUUCGGACCUUGCGCGAUUGAAUGAGCCGAUGUCGGAUUAGCUAGUUGGCGGGGUAAAGGCCCACCAAGGCGACGAUCCGUAGCUGGUCUGAGAGGAUGAUCAGCCACACGGGAACGGAGACACGGUCCAGACGCCUACGGGAGGCAGCAGUGGGGAAUAUUGGACAAUGGGCGCAAGCCUGAUCCAGCCAUACCGCGUGGGUGAAGAAGGCCUUCGGGUUGUAAAGCCCUUUUGUUGGGAAAGAAAAGCAGCAGGUUAAUACCACGCUGUUCUGACGGUACCCAAAGAAUAAGCACCGGCUAACUUCGUG
rnacentral:rRNA from 1 species